rnacentral:rRNA from 1 species
GAUGAACGCUGGCGGCGUGCCUAAUACAUGCAAGUCGAGCGAACAGACGAGGAGCUUGCUCCUCUGACGUUAGCGGCGGACGGGUGAGUCACACGUGGAUAACCUACCUAUAAGACUGGGAUAACUUCGGGAAACCGGAGCUAAUACCGGAUAAUCUAUUGAACCGCAUGGUUCAAUAGUGAAAGACGGUUUUGCUGUCACUUAUAGACGGAUCCGCGCCGCAUUAGCUAGUUGGUAAGGUAACGGCUUACCAAGGCGACGAUGCGUAGCCGACCUGAGCGGGUGAUCGGCCACACGGGGACUGAGACGCGGUCCAGACUCCUACGGGAGGCAGCGGUAGGGAAUCUUCGGCAAAGGGGGAAAGCCUGACGGAGCAACGCCGCGUGAGUGAUGAAGGUCUUCGGAUCGUAAAACUCUGUUAUUAGGGAAGAACAAAUGUGUAAGUAACGAUGCACGUCUUGACGGUACCUAAUCAGAAAGCCACGGCUAACUACGUG